rnacentral:misc_RNA from 1 species
GGGUUCUUGAGCAAUGGAAAGACAGGGACUCAAUGCCAAGGUCUCAACUAACGGUUGCAAGGGUGAAAAUAUCUCCAGGAAGCGAAAAAUUGCAGAACAUAGAAAGUCACUCCCAGUAGCUUCCGUUGAAAAUCUGCUCAUACAAGAGGUGCAUAGAAACGAUACAUUGAUUAUCGUUGGUGAAACUGGGAGUGGAAAAACG